GCCGGGUGCAGUGGCAUGUGCCUGUAAUCCAAGUCACUGGGAGGCUGAGGUUGGUGGAUCAAGUGAGCUGAGGAGCUCUGGGCUGCAGCACGCUAUGUCGAACGGGUGUCCACGCUGAGUUCGGUAUCGAUAUGGUGUUCCUGGGGGAGCCUGGGACCACCAGGUUGUCUAAGGAGGGGUGAACCGGCCCAGGUCGGAAACGAAGCAGGUCAAAUCCCCCGUGCUGUCCAGUAGUGGGAUAAUACCUGUGAGUAGAUGCUGCAGUGCAGCCUUGGCAAAACAUCGAGACCUAAUCUUUU
rnacentral:SRP_RNA from 13 species